rnacentral:rRNA from 1 species
GAUGAACGCUAGCGGCAGGCCUAAUACAUGCAAGUCGGACGGGAUUCAGGAGCUUGCUUCUGAUGAGAGUGGCGCACGGGUGCGUAACACGUAUGUAACCUACCUUUAUCAGGGGGAUAGCCUCUCGAAAGAGAGAUUAAGCCCGCAUAAAAUCACAGCACAGCAUUGUGUAAUGAUCAAAUAUUUAUAGGAUAAAGAUGGGCAUGCGGAACAUUAGCUAGAUGGCGGGGUAACGGCCCACCAUGGCGACGAUGUUUAGGGGAUCUGAGAGGAUGGCCCCCCAAACGGGAACUGAGACACGGACCGGACGCCAAGGGGGGGAAGGAGAAGGGAAAAAGGGGCAAGGGGGGGAAGCCUAAACCAGGAAGCCCGGGGGAAAAAAGACGGGCCUAGGGGUUUGAAACUGUUUUUAUAAGGGAAGAAACCCAGAAACGUGUAGUUGGCUGAAUGUACUUAAAAAAAAAGGAUGGGCAAAUCCGGG